GCGUCCGUAGCUCAGUUGGAUAGAGCGUUCGGCUCCGACCCGGAAGGCCGCUGGUUCGAAUCCAGUCGGGCGCACCA
rnacentral:tRNA from 12 species